UACGUAGGGGGCGAGCGUUGUCCGGAGUUACUGGGCGUAAAGCGCACGCAGGCGGUCUGUUAAGUUUGGAGUGACAGUUGGUGGCUCAACCACCAAAGUGCUUUGAAAACUGAUAGACUUGAGGGCUUCAGAGGGACACGGAAUUCCGGGUGGAGUGGUGAAAUGCGUAGAGAUCCGGAGGAACACCGAUGGCGAAGGCAGCUCGCUGGGACGGUACUGACGCUAAGGCGCGAAAGCGUGGGGAGCGAACAGG
rnacentral:rRNA from 1 species